GAUGUGGUUAAUGAUGCAUCUUCUUUUUUCCCCAUCUUAUCGACAAUGGUGAAAAUCUGCUGUAAAUAAGCCAAAUAUGUCUGAAACCACAUC
ensembl:snoRNA